AGAGUUUGAUCCUGGCUCAGAACGAACGCUGGCGGCGCGUCUUAAACAUGCAAGUCGAACGAUCUGUAGCAAUACAGGGAGUGGCGGACGGGUGAGGAACACGUAGGAAUCUACCUGGAAGAGCGGGACAACUUUGGGAAAC
rnacentral:rRNA from 1 species